rnacentral:rRNA from 1 species
UCAAGCUACUAAGGGCACACGGUGGAUGCCUUGGUGCCAGGAGGCGAUGAAGGACGUGGUAAGCUGCGAUAAGCCUCGGGGAGCCGCUAAACAGGCUUAGAUCCGGGGAUUUCUGAAUGGGGAAACCCGUCCGGAGUCAUGUCCGGACAUCUCCGGCUGAAUCCAUAGGUCGGAGAGGCGAACGAAGGGAACUGAAACAUCUCAGUACCUUUAGGAAGAGAAAGCAACCGCGAUUCCCAAAGUAGUGGCGAGCGAAAUGGGAACAGCCCAAACUCAAGAUAUGCCAAGCCCGCAGGCGUUGUAUCUUGGGGGUUGUGGGGCGUUUUUGGAGAGAUCUGCGGAUCUCUCGGGAAGGAUUCGUUUCAUAGUUGAAGGGUCUGGGAAGGCCCACCACAGAAGGUGAAAGUCCUGUAAGCCAAAUGAAGCGAACUUCCUGGAAAGCGUUCCCGAGUACCACGGGACACGGGAAAUCCUGUGGGAAACUGGGAGGACCAUCUUCCAAGGCUAAAUACUCACUGGCGACCGAUAGUGAACCAGUACCGUGAGGGAAAGGUGAAAAGUACUCCGGUGAGGAGAGUGAAAUAGUACCUGAAACCGUUUGCCUACAAGCGGUAGGAGCCCCAUAUCCCGUAGCAAUACGGGAUGGGGUGACUGCGUGCCUUUUGCAUAAUGAGUCAGCGAGUUAUUCUAUGCAGCCAGGUUAAGCCGUGAGGUGUAGCCGUAGCGAAAGCGAGUCUGAAUGGGGCGAUUAGUUGCAUAGAAUAGACCCGAAGCCAGGUGAUCUACCCAUGGUCAGGGUGAAAUUCCGGUAACACGGAAUGGAGGCCCGAACCGGUGUUGGUUGAAAACAGCUCGGAUGAACUGUGGGUAGGGGUGAAAGGCCAAUCAAACCUGGAAAUAGCUGGUUCUCCCCGAAAUCUAUUUAGGUAGAGCCUUGCAAAUUAAGUCGCGGAGGUAGAGCACUGGAUGGGCUAGGGGCCCUACCAGGUUACCAACCCCAACCAAACUCCGAAUUCCGCCAACUUUUAUUGCAGGAGGCAGACUACGAGCGAUAAGGUCCGUAGUCGAGAGGGAAACAGCCCAGACCGCCAGCUAAGGUCCCCAAACGUGUGCUAAGUGGGAAAGGAUGUGGAAUUGUCCAGACAACCAGGAGGUUGGCUUAGAAGCAGCCAUCCUUUAAAGAAAGCGUAAUAGCUCACUGGUCUAAUGAAUCUGCGCCGAAAAUCCAACGGGGCUCAAGUACACCACCGAAGCUGCGGAUUUUGCUUUCGGGCAAAGUGGUAGGGGAGCAUUCCAUGGUAGGACGAAGCCAGACCGUAAGGACUGGUCGACGAAAUGGAAGAGAUCAUGCUGACAUUAGUAGCGAUAAAGCCGGUGAAAAACCGGCUCGCCGUAAGCCUAAGGGUUCCUGAGUAAAGUUAAUCUCCUCAGGGUGAGUCGAUCCCUAAGCCGAGGCCGAAAGGCGUAGGCGAUGGAAAACAGGUUAAUAUUCCUGAUUGAGCAAUGGGGGGACGUAGGAGGGUAGGCCAUCCUCGUGCUGGAAUACGAGGUCCAAGCCGGUAGGUGGACCUGCCAGGCAAAUCCGGCAGGUCGUUAACACCGAGAGGUGAUGGGGAUGCCGAGCAAUCGGCUACAAACUGGCUAAUCCCACGCUACCAAGAAAAGCCUCUAGCGAGUGGAAGGGGUGAUCGUACCGUAAACCGACACAGGUGGGCAGGGAGAAUAUCCCAAGGCGCUUGAGUGAUCCCUCGUUAAGGAACUCGGCCAAUUAACUCCGUAACUUCGGGAAAAGGAGUGUCUCGGUCCGUGAGGGGACUUGCUUCCUGAGCGGCCUGAGAUCGCAGUGAAAAGGCUGUAGCGACUGUUUAAUAAAAACACAGGUCUCUGCGAAGUCGCAAGACGAUGUAUAGGGGCUGACGCCUGCCCGGUGCCGGAAGGUUAAGGGGAUUUGUUAGUUCUGCUUCGGCAGGACGAAGCAUUGAACUGAAGCCCCGGUAAACGGCGGCCGUAACUAUAACGGUCCUAAGGUAGCGAAAUUCCUUGUCGGGUAAGUUCCGACCUGCACGAAUGGCGU